rnacentral:rRNA from 1 species
AACGAACGCUGGCGGCAUGCCUAACACAUGCAAGUCGAACGAGACCUCCGGGUUUAGUGGCGCACGGGUGCGUAACGCGGGGGAACCUGCCCUUAGGUUCGGAAUAACUCCCCGAAAGGGGUGCUAAUACCGGAUAAUGUCUUCGGACCAAAGAUUUAUUGCCUUUGGAUGGGCGCGCGUUGGAUUAGCUGGUUGGUAGGGUAUAAGCAGACCAAGGCGACGAUCCAUAGCUGGUCUGAGAGGAUGAUCAGCCACACUGGGACUGAGACACGGCCCAGACUCCUACGGGAGGCAGGGGUAGGGAAUAUUGGACAAUGAGCGAAAGCCUGAUCCAGCGAUGCCGCGUGAGUGAUGAAGGCCUUAGGGUUGUAAAGCUCUUUUAGCCGAGAUGAUAAUGACGGUACCGGGAGAAUAAGCUCCGGCUAACUCCGUG